rnacentral:lncRNA from 10 species
UUUCUUCCAUUUCUAUUGGCAAUGUUUUACGGUUUCCUGUGUGCUGGUCUUGCUCAUUAAAGACGUUCUUGCUAACUAAAGUAAGUCUCACUCACUUUACAAAGCAGGAAGUAGAGUUUUUUGAAGUAAUUAAUUAUUCAAGAAUUGGCAAAAGUAAAACAUAAAAUUUUCUUCCCUGAUACAGGAAGUUGACAUAAGAAUGAUCAACAUGACAUUACACAGUUCUUAGUGACUCCUCAGUCUGAAUAAAGGGUGAAUCUGAUCCAAUGUUGUCAUUCUAAGUGCAGUAUUGUUUUUUUCUUUAAUGCCUUGUACUCAUCACCCUAUAGACAUUUCUGUAAGGUAGGUAAAUUUAGUGUUCCUUCCUUAGUCUUCACUUGCAUCAUCUUGAUUUGGCUGUGUUUGACUAUUUGCAAUGAUGAUCUAUCUGAGUUCUUUACCAACUCCACUGAGUGUUCUCUUGGUGUCUCCUUCCAGGACUUCAUUUUCUCCUUCCAUCCUGAUGUACCCUGCUCCUUUCGCUCAAUUUCAGCUUUCAUUUCACUUCCAUUUAUUCUUAAAUAAAUUUCCAGCCUAAUCUUUUAUA